rnacentral:rRNA from 1 species
UACAGAGGGGGCAAGCGUUAUUCGGAAUUAUUGUGCGUAAAGGGCGCGUCGGCGGCCUGGCAAGUGACGGGUGAAAGCCCUCGGCUCAACCGAGGAACUGCCUGUCAUACUGCCGGGCUUGAGUCCGGGAGAGGUGAGUGGAAUUCCCAGUGUAGCGGUGAAAUGCGUAGAUAUUGGGAGGAACACCAGUGGCGAAGGCGGCUCACUGGACCGGAACUGACGCUGAGGCGCGAAAGCGUGGGGAGCAAACAGG